CUUUAAAUUCUCUUACCUAGAAGGUAUCAGUCACAAACUGUAUACUGACUUUAAAUAUAUAUCCUAGUUCAUAAGGCUAAACUUUGUGAAUUGUGACUGCAGAUUCUCAAGCUCAAAUAGCAUCAUCACAGUUGGGUCAAGUUAUUGGAGACAUUGUGGGUCAUCUAUUGAUAAAAGCAGAGAGGUGAUUGUGCAAAGAUUUAAAGAUAUCAGAGAAGUUUCAUUUCAAGGAGAACACCAAUCGUUUACAAGGAUCUGAUCGAAGAUCUCAAAUACACUUCAUUGUGAGUGUGGAAUUUUACUGCUGAUUCUCUUACUUAGAAGGUAUCAGUCACAAACUUUAUACUGACUUUAGAUAUGUAUCCUAGUUCAUAAAGCUAAACUUUGUGAAUUGUGACCACAGAUUCUUAAGCUCAAAUA